UGGGGAAUAUUGCGCAAUGGGGGAAACCCUGACGCAGCAACGCCGCGUGAGUGAUGAAGGCUUUCGAGUCGUAAAACUCUGUCUUCGGGGACGAUAAUGACGGUACCCGAGGAGGAAGCCCCGGCUAACUACGUGCCAGCAGCCGCGGUAAUACGUAGGGGGCAAGCGUUGUCCGGAAUCACUGGGCGUAAAGGGCGCGUAGGCGGUUUGUUAAGUCAGGUGUGAAAGUUUUCAGCUUAACUGGAAAAGUGCACUUGAAACUAACUUACUUGAGUACUGGAGAGGUAAGCGGAAUUCCUAGUGUAGCGGUGAAAUGCGUAGAUAUUAGGAAGAACACCGGUGGCGAAGGCGGCUUACUGGACAGAGACUGACGCUGAGGCGCGAAAGCGUGGGGAGCGAACAGG
rnacentral:rRNA from 1 species